AGUGAACGCUGGCGGUAGGCCUAACACAUGCAAGUCGAACGGCAGCACAGAGGAGCUUGCUCCUUGGGUGGCGAGUGGCGGACGGGUGAGGAAUACAUCGGAAUCUACUCUGUCGUGUGGGAUAACGUAGGGAAACUUACGCUAAUACCGCAUACGACCUACGGGUGAAAGCAGGGGAUCUUCGGACCUUGCGCGAUUGAAUGAGCCGAUGUCGGAUUAGCUAGUUGGCGGGGUAAAGGCCCACCAAGGCGACGAUCCGUAGCUGGUCUGAGAGGAUGAUCAGCCACACUGGAACUGAGACACGGUCCAGACUCCUACGGGAGGCAGCAGUGGGGAAUAUUGGACAAUGGGCGCAAGCCUGAUCCAGCCAUACCGCGUGGGUGAAGAAGGCCUUCGGGUUGUAAAGCCCUUUUGUUGGGAAAGGAAUCCAUCUGGUUAAUACCCGGGUGGGAUGACGGUACCCAAAGAAUAAGCACCGGCUAACUUCGUGCCAGCCGCCGCGGUAA
rnacentral:rRNA from 1 species